rnacentral:tRNA from 1 species
CGGAUGUGGCCAAGUGGAUCAAGGCGGU